GCUAACCAGUACUAAUUGCUCGUGCGGCUUGACCCUAUAACUUUGACUGACCAAAGCAAAGUUCCAAUGCAUGCACUCGUAUGUAAGUACCCACUACUCAUACUUGUCGCAGCGUCGCUCGUAGUCACGCCAAAAAACGCAAUCACCAAUUCUCCUCGAUUCGACUUCUAUGAUCUUCGCCGCGCUGUCUCCCCCAACAUAACAACAACCAACAGCUCGGCAUAAGUUUCGCCUGAUGACCAUAGCAAGCUGGUACCACCCCUUCCCAUCCCGAACAGGACCGUGAAACAGCUUCGCGCCGAUGAUAGUGCGGAUCCCCGUGCGAAAGUAGGUCAUCGUCAGGC
rnacentral:rRNA from 1 species